rnacentral:rRNA from 1 species
GCCAGACUCCUACGGGAGGCAGCAGUGGGGGAUAUUGCACAAUGGGGGAAACCCUGAUGCAGCGACGCCGCGUGUGGGAAGACGGUCUUCUGGAUUGUAAACCACUGUCCCCAGGGACGAAAAUGACGGUACCUGGGGAGGAAGCUCCGGCUAACUACGUGCCAGCAGCCGCGGUAAUACGUAGGGAGCGAGCGUUAUCCGGAAUUAUUGGGUGUAAAGGGUGCGUAGACGGGAAAACAAGUUAGUUGUGAAAUCCCUCGGCUUAACUGAGGAACUGCAACUAAAACUAUUUUUCUUGAGUGCAGGAGAGGUAAGUGGAAUUCCUAGUGUAGCGGUGAAAUGCGUAGAUAUUAGGAGGAACACCAGUGGCGAAGGCGACUUACUGGACUGUAACUGACGUUGAGGCACGAAAGUGUGGGGAGCAAACAGGAUUAGAUACCCCUGUAUG